UACGAAGGGGGCUAGCGUUGUUCGGAAUCACUGGGCGUAAAGGGCGCGUAGGCGGCUUGAUAAGUCGGGGGUGAAAGCCUGUGGCUCAACCACAGAAUUGCCUUCGAUACUGUCGAGCUUGAGACCGGAAGAGGUAAGUGGAACUGCGAGUGUAGAGGUGAAAUUCGUAGAUAUUCGCAAGAACACCAGUGGCGAAGGCGGCUCACUGGCCCGGUACUGACGCUGAGGUGCGAAAGCGUGGGGAGCAAACGGGG
rnacentral:rRNA from 1 species